GCCUCGAUGAGUAGGAGGG
rnacentral:sRNA from 1 species